UCAAAAUGGCCGGAAAAUGUGCCUGUUUUUUUUUCCGAGUGGUGGCGGAGUGCCGCAGCGCCAAUAUCGAAAAUCUCGUGCGCACGCAAUCGUGAGCGCGUGUACUCACACACACGCAAUGGCGACCUGUGCCCCAGCGCGUCAAGGCGCAGCGAUGGUACCCGCUCUCUAUUCCCCUACGCUGAGAGAACGCCAUUGCCGCGAACGCCGUCUCUCCUCUGUUUGCAUCCUGUGCGGAUGUACCCUCUCCCACCACCACCGCUCUGAUGUAGUGUGCCCUGCACUUCUUUGACGAGAGGGAUGGCGCACACUCAGCUCUACUCUCGCGUCCCUUCUCUCCAAACCCACCGCCACUUCACGGCUCCCCUCGCAGAUGUGAGCGGUGCAGCACGUUGUGUACCAUCAGUCUCAGCGUUGCGCUUAUUUGAUGGGGCUUGCAUGUCCUUCGUCGCUGCCUUGGUAGCAUGCGCAGCACGCAGUGUUUCUUGCUUUCGCUGCUGUAUCCCUCUUCCGUGCGAAUAGAUAUGUGUGCGUGUGUCUGCACAACGCGUCUACCACGUGGAAGUAGACAGAAUCGAUGAAAAAGAGAGGUGGCGCCACGAGAGCGAAGCGCACGGAAGGGCAAUCCUGUUGUUGUUGUUCCAUGAAGUGGACGUGGACUUUAUCGACUUUGGUUGUCAUCGCGGUGCCCUCUCGGCGCCGCUCUCGUCACUGCUUUUCUCUUGGUUACGUGGAGGCUUGCAAGGACGGGUGCCCGUGAAGCCACACACACAUACACCAAAAGAGGUGUAGUAUCAGCCAUGCGCCCCCAUACCCUUCCCGCGACUGUCACUCAUUCCAUUUAUUUCUUGGUGUUGCUCUUUUCCGCUGCCGUGCAACCGUGCUCUCCAGAAAACAUGUGGGCAGUGCUGCAUACACACACACACUAUAUAUAUAUAUAUAUAUAUGUGUGUGUACUGAAAGUGCGACUCAUCGCCAAUGUUGCAUGCCUUUUCCAUGUUCGUCUUGUUAUCCCGCCAGCUGGCGCUCUCCCCUUUUUUUCCGUCGCAUGCUCUCCGUCCAAAAGAAGAACGGUAAUACAUGGACGAUCUCCUCGUCGGUGUCUUCCUUCGAAAGCUGCACCGUCGCUUUCUCGGUGCUUGUUUUCGGACUGAUGCUCAUUGUGUCCGUGGUCGUGUCGAGUGGUUCGUUUCUGACCCCCUCAUCCGCUCUCCUUGAUUCAGGGCGGGGGUUUUUGGAGGAGGGAAGAUGGGACUUCCUGUCCCGAAUGGUGGCAACAGCGGCGUUAUGAUGGCACGGUUGAUUGAUCGGAGAUCAUCGGGCACGGUCGAGGCAGCUCUUCACGCCGCUUCUUCCAGUGCACCACAGACUUGUGAAAAUCUGUGAUUGUGCAUCGCUCUCGGUUAGUAUUCUCUCCAUCCCUCAAUACACUUCCUAUGCGAUACAGGGCAGAAGAAAAAAGGAGAGCAGCCAGACGGCGACGGUAUUCCCCUACGUAUCUUCCCCAUACACAACCUAUUCGACACCCCGGAUGGCUCUCGAUUGGGUUGAUCAUACGCCUCUUUCUCUGCUUCGCGCGCGCAUCGCGUUUUGCUCACUUCAUAUUCUCCGACUCCUCUACUGUUCACCUCUUCGAUCUCUCUUGCUCGCUUUACGUGUGUGCGUGUGUGUGUGUGUGUGUGUGUGUGUGUGUUGGGGGAGGGGGGGUAG
rnacentral:misc_RNA from 1 species